CAAAGCGUGCAGUUGUAGACGCGCGAUUACAAAUAGUUCCGAAACAUUUGAUUUUAUAUUUCUUGUCAUGGAGCAGUUCUAUUCACCGUAUGAAUGCAUCGACCAUCCUCUCGGUAUACUUUGUCGAUGCAAAGAAUACCGAGAAAUUGCAGCCAAAUUUGUCGUACAUACAAUCGGAACGUUAGAACGAAAAAGCUUGUUCAAUUUUAACGAACGAGAAUGGCCUGAUCCGUGGACGACUUGGAUGAAGCACAAAGCAGAGACCGAUGCAAUUCUUCUCGCAGAUUCCGAAAAGAAAGAUGGCACAGCAGAAGAUGAAAGUGAUGAUGAAGAAGAAGAAGAAGAUAAGGGAAAAAAAGUUUCUCCAUCACCCGCACCAAA